AGAGUUUGAUCCUGGCUCAGGAUGAACGCUAGCUACAGGCUUAACACAUGCAAGUCGCGGGGCAGCAUGGGGGUUGCUUGCAACCCCCGAUGGCGACCGGCGCACGGGUGAGUAACGCGUAUCCAACCUGCCCUUCACCACGGGAUAACCCGGCGAAAGUCGGACUAAUACCGUAUGUUGUCCAUUGACGGCAUCCGAUUUGGACGAAAGGCUUGGCGGUGAAGGAUGGGGAUGCGUCCGAUUAGCCAGACGGCGGGGUAACGGCCCACCGUGGCUACGAUCGGUAGGGGUUCUGAGAGGAAGGUCCCCCACACUGGAACUGAGACACGGUCCAGACUCCUACGGGAGGCAGCAGUGAGGAAUAUUGGUCAAUGGGCGUAAGCCUGAACCAGCCAAGUAGCGUGCAGGAUGACGGCCCUAUGGGUUGUAAACUGCUUUUAUGCGGGGAUAAAGUGAGGGACGUGUCCUUCAUUGCAGGUACCGCAUGAAUAAGGACCGGCUAAUUCCGUGCCAGCAGCCGCGGUAAUACGGAAGGUCCGGGCGUUAUCCGGAUUUAUUGGGUUUAAAGGGAGCGUAGGCCGCGCCUUAAGCGUGUUGUGAAAUCCGGGUGCUCAACAUCCGGCUUGCAGCGCGAACUGGGGCGCUUGAGUGCGCUGAAAGUAGGCGGAAUUCGUGGUGUAGCGGUGAAAUGCUUAGAUAUCACGAGGAACUCCGAUUGCGAAGGCAGCCUACUGUAGCGCUACUGACGCUGAUGCUCGAAAGCGUGGGUAUCGAACAGGAUUAGAUACCCUGGUAGUCCACGCGGUAAACGAUGGAUGCUCGUUGUCGGCCCCUUGGGUCGGUGACCAAGCGAAAGCGUUAAGCAUCCCACCUGGGGAGUACGCCGGCAACGGUGAAACUCAAAGGAAUUGACGGGGGCCCG
rnacentral:rRNA from 1 species